GCUUGCACUCGGUUGAGACGAGUCUCAUCCGGUAGAGCGAAUGAUUAGAGGCAUUGGGGUCGAAACGACCUCAACCUAUUCUCAAACUCCAAAUAGAUGAGAUCCCCGGCUUUCUUAAAAGUGAAGCCGUGGGAAUCGAUCAGAGUGCCAAGUGGGCCAAUUUUGGUAAGCAGAACUGGCGCUGUGG
rnacentral:rRNA from 1 species